GAUGAACGCUAGCGGGAGGCUUAACACAUGCAAGUCGAGGGGCAUCAUAGGGUAGCAAUACUCUGAUGGCGACCGGCGCACGGGUGAGUAACGCGUAUGUAACCUACCCUUUACAGGGAGAUAACCCGGAGAAAUUCGGACUAAUAUUCCAUAGUAUUAUAUUUAGGCAUCUAUAUAUAAUUAAAGCUACGGUGGUAAAGGAUGGGCAUGCGUAACAUUAGCUAGUUGGUAUGGUAACGGCUUACCAAGGCAAUGAUGUUUAGGGGGCCUGAGAGGGUGAUCCCCCACACUGGUACUGAGACACGGACCAGACUCCUACGGGAGGCAGCAGUGAGGAAUAUUGGUCAAUGGGCGCAAGCCUGAACCAGCCAUCCCGCGUGAAGGAAGAAUGCGCUAUGCGUUGUAAACUUCUUUUCCAGUGGAAUAAUUUGCCAUACGUGUAUGGUAUUGAAUGUACGUUGGGAAUAAGCAUCGGCUAACUCCGUGCCAGCAGCCGAC
rnacentral:rRNA from 1 species